rnacentral:rRNA from 1 species
AUGAACGCUGGCGGCGUGCCUAAUACAUGCAAGUCGAGCGAACAGACGAGGAGCUUGCUCCUCUGACGUUAGCGGCGGACGGGUGAGUAACACGUGGAUAACCUACCUAUAAGACUGGGAUAACUUCGGGAAACCGGAGCUAAUACCGGAUAAUAUAUUGAACCGCAUGGUUCAAUAGUGAAAGACGGUUUUGCUGUCACUUAUAGAUGGAUCCGCGCCGCAUUAGCUAGUUGGUAAGGUAACGGCUUACCAAGGCAACGAUGCGUAGCCGACCUGAGAGGGUGAUCGGCCACACUGGAACUGAGACACGGUCCAGACUCCUACGGGAGGCAGCAGUAGGGAAUCUUCCGCAAUGGGCGAAAGCCUGACGGAGCAACGCCGCGUGAGUGAUGAAGGUCUUCGGAUCGUAAAACUCUGUUAUUAGGGAAGAACAAAUGUGUAAGUAACUAUGCACGUCUUGACGGUACCUAAUCAGAAAGCCACGGCUAUCUACGUG